GGAAGUAAACGUCGUAACAAGGUUUCCGUAGGUGAACCUGCGGAAGGAUCAUUCUUGAUGCCUGCCUUACAGCACUUCUCGCGACCUUAUCCACACUCCCUGGGGCAUCAGCCGUCCUUCCCCGUGCCCUCCAACCCCACUUCCACCCUUGUUCCUUCUCUCUUUAUAUCGAACCUCUUCUCGGUCUCCGCCACUGAACUUCACUUACAGCGCCUCUCCUGUUGCCUCUGACACCAUUCAAGCUCCCGAGGCGACGCCUGUACACACCUAUGACCUCUCUCGGCCCCGGCUAUGUCGG
rnacentral:misc_RNA from 1 species